GAUGAACGCUGACGGCGUGCCUAAUACAUGCAAGUCGAGCGAACGGACGAGAAGCUUGCUUCUCUGAUGUUAGCGGCGGACGGGUGAGUAACACGUGGAUAACCUACCUAUAAGACUGGGAUAACUUCGGGAAACCGGAGCUAAUACCGGAUAAUAUUUUGAACCGCAUGGUUCAAAAGUGAAAGACGGUCUUGCUGUCACUUAUAGAUGGAUCCGCGCUGCAUUAGCUAGUUGGUAAGGUAACGGCUUACCAAGGCAACGAUGCAUAGCUGACCUGAGAGGGUGAUCGGCCACACUGGAACUGAGACACGGUCCAGACUCCUACGGGAGGCAGCAGUAGGGAAUCUUCCGCAAUGGGCGAAAGCCUGACGGAGCAACGCCGCGUGAGUGAUGAAGGUCUUCGGAUCGUAAAACUCUGUUAUUAGGGAAGAACAUAUGUGUAAGUAACUGUGCACAUCUUGACGGUACCUAAUCAGAAAGCCACGGCUAACUACGU
rnacentral:rRNA from 1 species